AUACAGAGGGUGCGAGCGUUAAUCGGAAUUACUGGGCGUAAAGCGCGCGUAGGCGGUUUGCCAAGUCGGAUGUGAAAGCCCCGGGCUUAACCUGGGAACUGCAUUCGAAACUUGUAGACUUGAGUACGGUAGAGGGAAGUGGAAUUCCAGGUGUAGCGGUGAAAUGCAUAGAUAUCUGGAGGAACACCAGUGGCGAAGGCGACUUGCUGGACUAAUACUGACGCUGAGGAGCGAAAGCGUGGGGAGCAAACGGGAUUAGAAACCCCGGUAGUCC
rnacentral:rRNA from 1 species